ACCCUGUAUCUUGAGCAGGAUUUAAUUCCUCUCCAACCUGCCUACUCCGGCAAGGUGGAAAAACGAUACGGUUAAUCAACAAUUAAAGGAGAGAAA
ncrna:unclassified sequences SAM-I/IV variant riboswitch